rnacentral:rRNA from 1 species
AUUGAACGCUGGCGGCAGGCCUAACACAUGCAAGUCGAGCGAGCGGCGGACGGGUGAGUAAUGUCUGGGAAACUGCCUGAUGGAGGGGGAUAACUACUGGAGACGGUAGCUAAUACCGCAUACCAUCAGAUGUGCCCAGAUGGGAUUAGCUAGUAGGUGGGGUAAUGGCUCCCCGAGGCGACGAUCCCUAGCUGGUCUGAGAGGUUGACCAGCAACACUGGAACUGAGACACGGUCCAGAAUCCUACGGGAGGCAGCAGUGGGGAUUAUUGCACAAUGUGCGCAAGCCUGAUGCAGCCAUGCGGCGUGUGUGAAGAAGGCCUUCGGGUUGUAAAGCACUUUCAGCGGGGAGGCGUUACCCGCAGAAGAAGCACCGACUAACUCCGUGCCAGCAGCCGCGGUAAUAC